UUACUUACCUGACAGGGGCAAUACCAUAAUCAAGGAUGUGGUUUGCUCAAAGAAAAAGGCUCAGCCAUUGCACUCUGUGCCGACCUUUGCGAAUUCCCCAAGUCCGGGAAUUUUGUUUGCAUAAUUUCUGAUAGCUGGGGACUGUGUUCACGCUCUCUCCUU